UACAGAGGGUGCGAGCGUUAAUCGGAAUUACUGGGCGUAAAGCGUGCGUAGACGGUAGCGUAAGUCAGAUGUGAAAGCCCCGAGCUCAACUUGGGAAUUGCAGUGGAUACUGGCGAGCUGGAGUGCGGUAGAGGAAGGUGGAAUUCCCGGUGUAGCGGUGAAAUGCGUAGAGAUCGGGAGGAACACCAGUGGCGAAGGCGGCCUUCUGGACCAGCACUGACACUCAAGCACGAAAGCGUGGGGAGCAAACAGG
rnacentral:rRNA from 1 species